GACAGAGGAGCCAAGCGUUGUCCGGAUUGACUGGGCGUAAAGAGCUCGUAGGCGGUUUGUCGCGUCUGCUGUGAAAACCCGAGGCUCAACCUCGGGCCUGCAGUGGGUACGGGCAGACUAGAGUGCGGUAGGGGAGAUUGGAAUUCCUGGUGUAGCGGUGGAAUGCGCAGAUAUCAGAAGGAACACCAAUGGCGAAGGCAGAUCUCUGGGCCGUAACUGACGCUGAGGAGCGAAAGCAUGGGGAGCGAACAGG
rnacentral:rRNA from 1 species